GCCCCCAUCGUCUAGCGGCCUAGGAUGUCUGGUUCUCAGCCAGAAGACAGGGGUUCGAGUCCCCUUGGGGGUA
rnacentral:tRNA from 1 species